rnacentral:tRNA from 1 species
UGCUCCUUGGUGAUAAGUUUAACAUUUCUGGUUUGCAACUAGAGGAUGAGAGGUAUCUCUCAGGAGCAU